rnacentral:rRNA from 1 species
UGGGGAAUUUUGGACAAUGGGGGAAACCCUGAUCCAGCCAUCCCGCGUGUGCGAUGAAGGCCUUCGGGUUGUAAAGCACUUUUGGCAGGAAAGAAACGUCAUGGGUUAAUACCCCGUGAAACUGACGGUACCUGCAGAAUAAGCACCGGCUAACUACGUGCCAGCAGCCGCGGUAAUACGUAGGGUGCAAUCGUUAAUCGGAAUUACUGGGCGUAAAGCGUGCGCAGGCGGUUCGGAAAGAAAGAUGUGAAAUCCCAGGGCUCAACUUUCGAACUGCAUUUUUAACUACCGGGCUAGAGUGUGUCAGAGGGAGGUGGAAUUCCGCGUGUAGCAGUGAAAUGCGUAGAUAUGCGGAGGAACACCGAUGGCGAAGGCAGCCUCCUGGGAUAACACUGACGCUCAUGCACGAAAGCGUGGGGAGCAAACAGG